AAAUGAAUUGACGGGGCCCCGCACAAGCAGUGGAUUAUGUGGUUUAAUUCGAAGCAACGCGAAAAACCUUACCGGGGUUUGACAUCCAACUAACGAAGCAGAGAUGCAUUAGGUGCCCUUCGGGGAAAGUUGAGACAGGUGGUGCAUGGUUGUCGUCAGCUCGUGUCGUGAGAUGUUGGGUUAAGUCCCGCAACGAGCGCAACCCUUAUUGUCAGUUGCUACGCAAGAGCACUCUGGCGAGACUGCCGUUGACAAAACGGAGGAAGGCGGGGACGACGUCAAAUCAUCAUGCCCCUUACAUCCCGGGCUACACACGUAAUACAAUGGCGCAGAACAGAGGGAGGCAAAGCCGCAAGGCGGAGCGAAACCCUAAAAGGCGUCUCAGUUCGGAUCGUGGGCUGCAACCCGCCCGCGUGAAGUCGGAAUUGCUAGUAAUCGCGGAUCAGCAUGCCGCGGUGAAUACGUUCCCGGGGCUUGUACACACCGCCCGU
rnacentral:rRNA from 1 species